UCCAGGGAACAUGUAAGCCUGGGAUAGUGGCUGUUGAGCUCAUAGACUUACUUUGUUAAAUUAUCAUUUGUGAACUGUUUAACAGGGGCCUGGAGACCCUAGGAACUGCCAAGAGCCAGAGGUUGGCAACCACCAAAUAUCUCUGUAGGAAGAAGGUGAAAAGGGAGGGCUGUUUUGUCUCCCUGCUAUCUCAGAACUGCCUCGUGAGGUGAGAUAUGCUACAGUUAAGGAGCCUGGAAUGACUGUGCCACCCCUGCCCACACCGUGACCAUGGCCAUUCCAUGUUUCCGACUGGGAAGGGAGCUCCCAUGCAGCACAGCAAGUCAUCACCUGAGUGAUACGCGCGCACACAUGUGGGUGCCCCUGAGCAUUUUUGGCUCUGCUGCCAACACUUUGGAGAGGGCUAUGAGAUGGAUGAGAGAGAUUUGGUCCAGACUUGUGUCUCUAUCACAAAAUCAGGCUGUGGUUCAGCACCGGGCAGGCUCAUCUGCCCUCAACUUACCCUUAGAUGGGGACAGAGCAGCUGCUGGAACAAUUUGUGGUGUGGAUAACUGAAGAGUGCAUCUGCAAAAUACCUUCUGCUUGCAGACCCUUACAUUGCCCUAAAGGAAUCAGCCGAUUUGCGGGGAGGAUGCUACAGUGCAGGAUCCCAGAACUGUUAAAGGAUUUAAUCCAAGAGUCAGAAAGCCAGUUGGAUCCUGACAGGAGGGACAUUGGUGCAAAGUCCUUGCUGGGUUUCUGAUGCUCAGAAAUCUUCCUAACAACCCCCAUGUCAUGAGUGCUUUGGUGAAGAACUAUAUAAAAAUACCAGAAGUAUGUUAUGCAAUAAGGUGUUUGGGAUUACAAGGGAGACCUUGCAAAUCUAGCCAUGAAGCAUCUGCAUGGAAAAAAAAAAUUUAAUUCGCAUCUUCUUUCAGCUGCAAUCUAAACUUUGUGCUAAGUUAAAUCUCCCCAGCCCUGGGCUGAUCCCUGUAGCCCCUCCAGGGUUUUCAAUGCAUCCAACAAUGAAAGUGAAAUCCAAUCCCAUCCAAUUAGAGGAAAAUGAAUGGCUCAUCUACAAUAAAUGGGCUCUGAAUAACAAUAAGCCAACAAGAGAGCAAUGAACUGGAGACAGAGUACAAUCUUCCUGAAUGUUAAUCGGCAACUAACUCCACAAGCUUCUUAGGGGUGGAAAGAAUUGGAGGAAAAUAGAUUAGGGAAGCUUUAGAGCACAUUGCCUUUUAACUGCUUAGGCCUCACAUUUUUACCUAAAUACAAGAAUGUUUCUAAUGCUGCCUUUUGCAGAGUGGAGGGAGGGUGUGUGUGAUGGGGGUAUUUGUUCUCAAAGUUAAAUGUUUUCAGUUUAUUUGUAAUUUGUCAUGGUAGGUCCUACUGUAUAGCCUCUACUGUUAUUUCAUGGUUUUAUUUAUUCAAAAGUCCUUUUCUAAAAUUAAAAAUGGCAGAAGCCUUGGAAAAUGCCUUCUGUAGAUCUGAGAAUUUGGGGAAUGAGGCUGAAUGAAUUCAGGAGUUAGCCUGAGACUGAAGAGAAGCUGGAGAGGCAAAAAAGAAAGGAUAAGGAAAACUCUGCAGUUCAGCUGCUGAAGUGCCAUCUGUACCAAGCUCCCCCAACGCUGCCUGCUCUCUGGUUCCGCCUAGAUGCCUUUUCAUGCUGUCAAGGCUAGUAAUACCUGAAAUACCUCAGCUCAGCUGAUGCUUUCUACUGCCCUCAGCCUCACAGACAAGCAGAGAUCUUAUUCAGCCAGACCAGCACUAUCAUCCCCUACUGCCUACCUUCAUCCCCAGGAGCCAGCUCAGAGGCCAUGAGCAGUAUUGACAGCUGAUGAGGCCUCACCAGAAAAGGGAACCAUCUCCACUUUUUUCUGUGACCAUCAUACAUCCAAAGCACUGCAGCCCAAGGGCUGACAUCCAUUUUCUUUUGGUACUGGACCACCUCUCCCAUGAAGACCUGCACCAGGGGCUCCUACAAGGCUCCUGCCACUGCUUCACACAGUGGACAGCUGAGAUGCCCAAUGGAUGGAUGAUUUUCUCUCAGCCAGGAGUGCUUCCUCACCAGAAACUUCAACAUCAGCCCUGGGCACUGUUCCAGACAAUAAGAACUGUAAGAUGUCAUCAUGUCUGUCAUGGGAAAUUCCACUUGGGGGGAAGGUAUGUGACCAAGGUGUGUGAUUUAAUCUCCAUAGAAAUGGGAAUGAUUUGGGUGGUUUUGCUUGGAAACAUUAGGCUGAAUUUAGAGAGUAUGUUUACAAUUUUUAAUCAGGAUUAUCAUAUUGUCAUUUUGUAAUCAAUGAGUAGUCAGAACAUUCCUUUGUACGUUUGAUUAAUUGUCUUGGGUCUAUGCAUGAAGAAAUGGCACCACCUCCCUCAUACUCCCCAUAAUGCACAGUGGAUAUGGUACACUAUAUUUUGUCCAAGAAUGGUCCAUUCUUGUGAGGCUUUACCCUUUCCAUGAUUCAUCUCAGAAAGAUGUCUUCUCUUAUUUUUUACUUUUUUCUUCUAGGUACUUCGUGUUGCUCAGAAAUGACCCAAAGCUAAGCAAGCUGGGAAGGCUCUCAUUAUCUAAUGCCUGAACUCUGAAACAGGGUCAGAACCAACAGUGCAGCUAAUGAUGGCAAGUGGUUAAUGAUGGGUCAACGAAGGGAUAUGACUAAUGAAGGGAAAAGGAUUGCAGAAAUGCAAAGUCACUGAGUGCACUGUAUGGCAGAUAAAAACUCUGUAAGUCCUUGUAACCCCAAGCCUACAGUCAUGUUUUCACCCUCCCACUCCCUUUCCUGGUAGCAGAGCAAGAAUUUCCAAAUCACCCAUGGCAGGACCUGGCAAAGCUGCAACUCCCACUACACGAGUUCAGGCUGACCACACACCCCCUCAGCCUCUGUCUGCUCCAUGGGAUGUCAGAGAGUUGUACUGGCAUGUCCUCUAAGCAAGGACAGCAAUCCCAACAAUUCUUUAAAAUAGAAAGGAGUUCUGUGUCUUCUACAGACUGUUAACUGCAUUACAGGAGUGAGUCAGUGCUUUAAAAUGCAAGUAAUUAAUAAUUACUCUCAUCAUCACUGCUAUUAUUUUUAUUCCUUUUCUUUAAGGGAAAAAGCAGUUGAAGGAGAGGGUUUGAUUCAAAAAUCAGGAGAAGGAAGGAAACUAUACUCCACAUACUGAAGAAGAGUACAAAGCCAUUAUGCAGAAUCUAGAUGUGGUAGUAUACAGGAGUCCAGGGUUUGUGAAACCAUGUGAUUUCCUUUACUUUUGAAUGUUCCUUUCAUUCACCCGAUAUGCCAACUGUAAGUAUGGAGUGAUCAGGUAGAGAUCAGACACAACAUUAGAAAGCUGUAGGAUCACCAACUAUUCACUCCUUAGUAGUGUCAAUAGGAUUUUCUUAUUUAAAGUAGGUGACUUGUAGUUCAAAAGUGACAUGAAGGUACUUUUUGUGACUUUUUCCACACCUAUUUUAUAACUCCAUGCCAUAUUUGUCUUUUUAUUUGUAGGAAUAAACACAAUAACAGCAAAAAUAAUCUCUGGUAUGUCACUACUGUGAUAGGCACAACUUGAGAACAGGGCAAGCUGCUGGCUCUCUUGAUUAAGAGCUGGCAUUGAUCAGACCAUUUACUAGAAGUUAAGACAGAUCCUGGCCUGGUUUACUGUUAUGCUGCUACCUCUGGAAGGUACCAAGAGUACCUGAAAGCACUUACUUAUCUAUAAUCUGAUAAUUAAAUAGCUGUAACAAAGUCUGGAGAUCUCUGCCUGAUUUUUCAAAUGCUUGUGUGUGUCACCAGUCCACCAGGAAGAACAAGGAAGCAGAGCAGGGAGUUGAAUGACUAAUUAAACUGGUGGAAGGCGCGUACCCAGCUCUGCAGAGACAUCUUGGGAGAGAAAAGCAAGGAAAGAGGUGCUCAAUGCCUUUACAUGCCUGGGUUUUAUCUUUGGUUAGUCGUAACCUCAAAAACAUAGAAGAACUUCUUGCUGCAUAUAUCUGUAAAUCCGAUAAUGUUAAUGUUUUAUUUCACAACAAAAAUGGGGGCAUGGUAGAGAUAGACUUGAGGAGUGACUUUAUGCUUGGCACAGCGUAUUAUUUUAAAUGUCAACCUCUUGGGGAAGGUUCCCAUGCCAACAAUUUUCUUCAGAGGUUCGACACUAUGAAAGUGGGUGAACACAUACCCAACUGGUAACUCAUUCAACCUUCCCCCUUCAUAAAACAGAGCAAAAAGGCUUACAAAAACACACUAGUAAGUAGAGCACACAGCUGGGAAACAGCAAGAAGGACAUUUUAUUUAAAAAUUAAUAAAAAAACCCAAAGCGUCACAAAAGAGCUGCUGCAUUUCUAUGCAGCACACCACACCUAGGAGAUUAAACAGAAAUAUUAUCAUCUAUACCUAUUUAUUCAAGGCAGGGAUCUGACCUUUCCGGGCUCAUUUGUUUCAGCAAACUUUGCUCAUGCUACUCAUGACUGCUCGUAUUCACAGGACUUGCAAGAUUAGAACAUCAAAUAACUGCUGAUAAUACAAAGACAGUGUAAGACAGGAGGAACAAUAGUGUUUCUUCUUAUGUAAUUAUCUUUUUUUUUCUUUAAGACUCUGAGAAACCACUUCAAAUAUUUUGAUCAGUUUCCUGUCAAAGGUAAGUUCUUUAAUAGGCCACUGUACUUCUGUAGAUAGGAAGCUUUUCUGUGAUUGUUGUGAAUCUCAAUUAAUACAUUAAACCAGGUACUACAGUUCUACUAAAUACUACUAUCAUGAUUACUUUAUUCCAUGUUUGUCAAUGUCUACCCAAUCAUUUUCUCAGCUCUACAGAAGAAAUGCCACCCUGCAGGUUGAGCAACAGAUUCAGACUGCUUCAGGGGAUAGGUGGCUUCAGUCUUGUCCCUUGACCCCAAAAUGACACCGUGGCUUGACCUAUAAAAUGUGAACAAUAGAAUCUAUUCACCUUUGUAAACACUAGGGCAACAUAUGGUUGAAUAGUAGUAUGUAAAUUUAAAAUCUUAAUUAAACUGAGGCAGAGAGCCAAGUAAUCACAAGGCACACACUACUUGAAGCAAGCUCAUUAAUAGUCCUGCUGCUGGAACCAGUUUCUUAAUGGCUCAGUAAUGAGCUGACUACAGUCUGCAAAACCAUGGAUCUUGAUAAUUUUUUAAGUAAAUAAUUAGAUUGUAAUAAUGACUUGAACUUGUGUGUGCACAUGUAACAAAAAAACGAUACCUCCAAGCACUUAACAGACUAAGACUUAAAAUCUGUUCUUGCUUAUUCCCAAAUUGAAUUGGUAUAACUCUGAAGUCAGCUGUGUUACAGAAAGGAAGGAGGAUACUCUGGCUUUUCUCUCAGUACCUGGUACUGUCAUGGGACUUCAAUAGGAUGUUUAAUGUGUUACUUUCUGACCCCUCAAUCAAAAAUGUUGCACAACCAACCCACGUCUUUGAGUUCCUUCCCUUGCAUGCUCC